rnacentral:rRNA from 1 species
UACGAAGGGUGCAAACGUUGCUCGGAAUUAUUGGGCGUAAAGCGCACGUAGGCGGCAUUGCAAGUCGGAUGUGAAAUCCCUCGGCUCAACCGGGGAACUGCGUCUGAUACUGGGUGGCUUGAAUCCGGGAGAGGGAUGCGGAAUUCCAGGUGUAGCGGUGAAAUGCGUAGAUAUCUGGAGGAACACCGGUGGCGAAGGCGGCAUCCUGGACCGGCAUUGACGCUGAGGCGCGAAAGCCAGGGGAGCAAACGGG